rnacentral:lncRNA from 1 species
GUUUCACUGGUGGUCACCAAGGAAACACCGUAGUGCAGCAGCCAUUCCUUUUUCCAUGCCUUCCUCACCUUUGCAGGUGAGAUGGAUCAGGCAUCUGAAAGAAGUCCUGUAUUGGGGCCUUCCCAUCUCCAACGACUUCUCAUAGACAAUUUAGGAACACGCAGAUCCUCCUUGUCUCUCUGGGUCUCUGGUAAGCUGAUCCCCUGGUCCUUGUCUAUUGUACCUACCACACUCAUUUCCUUUCUUUUUUAUUUGCUCUCACUCUUAUCUAAUCAUCCUUGCCUUUCUAAAUCCUAAUCUGCUAAGAAAAAUGAUACACACUCUUCAAAGUCUAAUUCAAAUAUCUCAGUUUUUCAUGAAACCUGGUCCCUCAUAACUAUAACCAUUCAAAGGUCUCUUCCGUCUCAUAGAAGCAUUUCUCAUCUGUGCCAUGUAUGUAAAAUUAAAACACAUAGUCUAGUGGUACAUUUAGUAGGAAAUAGCAUAUUCAGAUAACUGAGCUGAGUUCAAUUGUGUGCCAAACAACUACUGGUUUUGUAACUUUUCCUUUGCUUUAAAUAUGGUAUCUGAGGGCAUUGCAGAGAAACGUACAGGAAGUCCAGUACCUCCUUUACUCGGCUACCUCCAAAGUUAACUCUUACAAACUCUGUAGAGUAAUAUUAAACCAGGCCACUGACACUAGGAAAGCCAUGCCCUAAAAUGACCCUGUGGGUUCACAUCUGUUUCUAGGAUAAAGAGUUUCAUUGUAUACUGGUUGUUAGUAAGCUGGCUCCUAUAAGAAAAUCCCAGAAUGUGGAUCUCGCCGUUAACUAUAGCAUGACAUGCUUUGAGAAAAUAGCAUAAUACAUAUGUAUCUCAUUAUUACUAUGGCAUAGGUAUGGAGCCAUAGAUGAGGAAAUUCACACUAUUUAGCCAAUUGUACCUGAAGUUGAAAUUCAUGGUUAUAUGAGUUAUGCUUACUAGGUAUUACUGGAAACUUUCUUACAGCCCCCAAAGACAUACAGCCCCUCUAUUUUCUGUAGGAAAUAGAGGAAAGAAAAAAGGAAGUGUGUUGUGGAGUCAGACUAAAGAUCUACCACUUAUUGUCAACACUGGGCAAAGUGACUAGCCUCUGAACCUUAAUUCUCUAACCUGCACAAUGAGAAUACUACUGACAAUCUGCUAUAUUAUUUAAAGAUCACAUUCAAGACUGUAGAAAAAAAUUAUCUGUUAUUUAGAAAGGUCUUCAACUUGGGUUGAAAGGUUUUUAGACCAUGUAAAGAAUAUACGAAAGCUAUGGAAUCACACUCAAGAAACCAUCACUGUGUCUAAACAGACAUUAUCAUUUGGAGAUCAGAUGUAUGAAAACAAGUAUUGAGUGGAAUCGCAUCUUACCUAAUAUCUACAAAUUAUCAUUCACAUUUUUAACUGCCUGCUUUAGUUUUGUUUUUAAAAUCAGUCCUGGUCCGGCAAGGUAGCUCACGCGUUUACUCCCAGCAAUUUGGGAGGCCAAGGUGGGAAGAUUGCUUAAGGUCAGAAGUUCAAGACCAGCCAGACUAACAUGGGGAAACCAUGUCUCUACUAAAAGUACAAAAUGAGCUGGUCAUGGUAGUGCAUGCCUGUAGUCCCAGCUACUUGGGAGGCUGAGGCAGGAGAAUCUCUUGAACCAGGGAGGUGGAGGCUGCAGUGAACUCAGAUUACACCAUUGGCCUCCAGCCUGGGCAAUAAGAGUGAAAGUCCAUCUCAAAAAAUAAUAAUAAAAAAUAAAAUAAAAUCAGUCCUUAUUACCUCCAUGCUUAGUAUACCAAGUCUUGAACACAUUUAUUAUCCCACAACUAGAAUUUAAAAUAGAGUUUUAAUUUGGCUAGCAUAUCAGAGAGCUUAGGUUCUCAUCUGAAGUACUUAUAUCUAAUUCACCUUUCAGAGAAGUUUGCCUUUUCUUUGCCUUUUGAUUAUUCAUAUAAUUUUUCUCAAUGUAAGGUAUGCUAUAUGACUAUUUAUAUCAAAACAAGCCUAUCACAUCUUUGGACUCCUCUAGCUUUUAAAGGCAAAUGCUGUUUGAUUAUAUUAACCUAUUUGUUUCAUGAUUUAAACUGUAUGCAGCACUUAACAGAAUUGGAGAAUACGUAUAAUCUUCGAGAAAUUUCAUUAACUUAUGAUUUUGAAAUAAUUAUAUGCUUAUAAGAAUUUGUCUUUAAAAAUGUACAAAGAGGCCCUAUGUGCCCUUCACCCAGACUCCCCCAGUGAUAAUAUCUUACAGAGUUGUCAAAACUAGGAAACUGACAUUGGUAAAACCCAACAAUCUUAUUCAGGUUUUACAAGUUUUGCAUGUACUCAUUUGUGUGUGUCCAUGCACUCAUCUGUGCACAUGCACAUGUGGCUAUGUAAUUCUAUGCAAUUUGAUCAUGUAUGUAGCUUUGUGUAACCACCACUAUUAUCAAAAGAACAGUCUCAUCACUACAAAGCUCCUUCUUACUUCUUCUUUAACACUCACUUACUACCCUCUCUAUCCCUAAACAUUGCAAUCACGAACUUGUUCGCCAUCUCUACAAUGUUGUUAUUUCAACCAUGUUAUAUAUAUGAAAUCACAGAGUACAUAGUCUUUUGAGACUGACUUUUAACUUAAAAUCCCCUGGCAAUUGAUGCAGGUUAUUCAUUCCUUUAUAUGGAUGCCUAACAUCUCAUGGUAUAUAUGUACUGCAGUUUUCUCAUUCACCAUUCAAGGGCAUUUGCAUUGUUUGCAAGUAUUGACUGUUAUGAAUCGAGCUGCUAUGAAUGUUCA